CACUCCUGCGGGAGGCAGCAGUGGGGAAUUUUGGACAAUGGGCGAAAGCCUGAUCCAGCAAUGCCGCGCGAGUGAAGAAGGCCUUCGGGUUGUAAAGCUCUUUUGUCAGGGAAGAAACGGUGAGAGCUAAUAUCUCUUGCUAAUGACGGUACCUGAAGAAUAAGCACCGGCUAACUACGUGCCAGCAGCCGCGGUAAUACGUAGGGUGCAAGCGUUAAUCGGAAUUACUGGGCGUAAAGCGUGCGCAGGCGGUUUUGUAAGUCUGAUGUGAAAUCCCCGGGCUCAACCUGGGAAUUGCAUUGGAGACUGCAAGGCUAGAAUCUGGCAGAGGGGGGUAGAAUUCCACGUGUAGCAGUGAAAUGCGUAGAUAUGUGGAGGAACACCGAUGGCGAAGGCAGCCCCCUGGGUCAAGAUUGACGCUCAUGCACGAAAGCGUGGGGAACAAACAGGAUGAGAUACCCCUGUAGUCCCAUGAU
rnacentral:rRNA from 1 species